rfam:Gossypium arboreum cultivar AKA8401 contig_2691_15, whole genome shotgun sequence.
UGUUAAAAUUUCAUCCAUUUGUAUUGUUAAAAACUGAUGUGGCUAACAAAAUAACUAGAUAGUGACACUUGGUGUGACACUAACUUUUAAGAGUAAAAUUGAUGAAUUUUUUAACA